rnacentral:rRNA from 1 species
CCCUGGCUCAGAUUGAACGCUGGCGGCAGGCCUAACACAUGCAAGUCGAGCGGAUGACAGGAGCUUGCUCCUGAAUUCAGCGGCGGACGGGUGAGUAAUGCCUAGGAAUCUGCCUGGUAGUGGGGGACAACGUUUCGAAAGGAACGCUAAUACCGCAUACGUCCUACGGGAGAAAGCAGGGGACCUUCGGGCCUUGCGCUAUCAGAUGAGCCUAGGUCGGAUUAGCUAGUUGGUGAGGUAAUGGCUCACCAAGGCGACGAUCCGUAACUGGUCUGAGAGGAUGAUCAGUCACACUGGAACUGAGACACGGUCCAGACUCCUACGGGAGGCAGCAGUGGGGAAUAUUGGACAAUGGGCGAAAGCCUGAUCCAGCCAUGCCGCGUGUGUGAAGAAGGUCUUCGGAUUGUAAAGCACUUUAAGUUGGGAGGAAGGGCAUUAACAUUAAUACGUUAGUGUUUUGACGUUACCGACAGAAUAAGCACCGGC